rnacentral:rRNA from 1 species
UAUUAAAAACAUGGCUUGUUGAGUAUAAUUUCAAGUUUGACCUGCCCAGUGAUUAUUUAAAUGGCCGCAGUAUAUUGACUGUGCAAAGGUAGCAUAAUCAUUAGUUUUUUAAUUGAAAGCUUGUAUGAAAGGUUUGAUGAAAGAAUUUCUGUCUCUAUAUAAAUUUAUUAGAAUUUUAUUUUUAAGUGAAAAAGCUUAAAUUUUUAUUGAAGACAAGAAGACCCUAUAGAGUUUUAUAUUGAUACUAGUAAUAUAUAAUUUUAAGGAAAAUAAAAGUUUAUUAUUAAUAUUAUUAUUUAGUUGGGGUGAUGGAAAAAUUGAUUUAACUUUUUUUAUUAAUAAAACAUUAAUUUAUGGGUUUAUGAUCCUUUAAUUAAGAUUAAAAGAAAAAAUUACCUUAGGGAUAACAGCGUAAUUUUUUCUAGAGUUCUUAUCGAAGAUAAAGUUUGCGACCUCGAUGUUGGAUUAAAAUUAAUUGUUGGUGAAGAAGCUGAUAUAUUAGGUCUGUUCGACCUUUAAAAUUUUACAUGAUCU